AACGAACGCUGGCGGCAGGCUUAACACAUGCAAGUCGAACGGACGUGAGCAAUCACGUCAGUGGCAGACGGGUGAGUAACGCGUGGGAACAUACCCUCCGGUUCGGAAUAGCUCAGGGAAACUUGGAUUAAUACCGGAUACGGCCGUAAGGCGAAAGAUUUAUCGCCGGAGGAUUGGCCCGCGUUCGAUUAGCUUGUUGGUGAGGUAACGGCUCACCAAGGCGAUGAUCGAUAGCUGGUCUGAGAGGAUGAUCAGCCACAUUGGGACUGA
rnacentral:rRNA from 1 species